AGGGGGACGGUGGGCCCCCUAGUCAGCCUCGAGGGGGCGGCGGGACCCCCUCUCCAGUCGUCCCCGUCAGGGGCGGCGGGACCUCCAGGUCUGCCCCUCGGGAAUGACGGACCCCCGCCCCUUUCAGCCCCAGUCGGCCGGUCGGGCCAGCAGGGCCCCUUCUCCGGUCGGCCUCGCCGGUGCGGGGCGGGGGGCUGGCCCCCUAGGCCGGCCUCUCGGGAGCGGCGGGCCCCCCCGGGUCAGAUCCCCGGGAGCGGCGGGCCCCCUGGGUCGGCGGCCGGGGCGGGUGGGGGCCGCCGCCUGACUGGGCCGCGUCGUUGCAGGUGUGCGGUUCCCGCCGGAUCCCCCUCGCGCCGGGUGCGGGGCGAUGCCCGGGCCCGGGUGCCCCCAGUGGACAUGGAAGAGGCCCCUCUGCUGGGCGGCAUGUGCAGCCCCGAGGACGAGAUGGUGACAGACCUUUUCAGCGCCGAGAGUCAGUUUGUUCCUGAAAACCUUCCCCUGAAAACCCCGGUGGCGGUGAAGCACGAGGCAGACGAGUUCUACGUCUUCAAAGACACGUACCUGGGCUCCGCGCACCCCAAAGAGCCCCUGCUGCACGCCUUCAACGCCCCGCUCGACGGGGACUGCAAGGGCAAAGUCAAAGUGGAGCUGCUGGUGGAUGAGAACGGAGAUGAGGAAACGCGCGGCGAGUUCCCGAGUCUUCCCAAGCUCAAUCCCCUGGAAGACGCCGUUCUUCCCGCCGCCCAGCAGCCGCACGCCUACAACCUCUACUUCCUGUCCUCCCUGCUGACCCCGCACAGGAGUCCUGCCGUCGGGCCCCUGGGCACCUGGGCCAGGGAAGGAGCCGCCCACCCCGGCGUCCGCGUGAUUCCAGUUGAAAUCAAGGAAGCAGGUGGUACUAUCACAAGUAACAAUCUGGAGGAAGCAACUUUUCAGAACCUUCCGGCCCAGGAGUCCUGUUGCAAGUUCCCAACAGCACAAGAAGCAGAGGAUGCCUCUGGCUGCUCUCAUAAGAAAGACUCUAACCCAAUGCUUGAUAAUGGAGCCUUACCAUCCGUAGUCAACGGGUCUGCUUUACCUUUGGGAUCAACUCUUCCAGGACCACCAAAAAUAACUUCGACUAGGUACUGUGAUUGCUUUGCAAGCGGGGACUUUUGCAACAACUGCAAUUGUAAUAAUUGUUGCAACAAUUUACAUCAUGAAAUGGAGCGGUUUGAGGCCAUUAAGGUGCAUGGUGUGGAUGACCAGAGUUUAAUCCACUGAAGGACAUCUGAGCUGUUUCCGGUUUUUGCCUAUUAUGAAUAAGCUACUGUGAGCAUUUGUGUGCAGGCUCUCGUGUGAAGGUAGGUUUCCAUUUGGCUGGGAUGAACGCUCAGGAGUGCAUUUGCUGGGUCGGACAGUAGCUACGCGUUUGAUGUUUAAAGAAACCACCAAGCUGUUUCCCAGAGCGGCUUCGGCAUUUUACAUUCUCAGCAGCGAUGCAUGAGUCAUCCACUUUCUCUGCAUCCUUGCCAGCAUUUGGCGCUCUCACUGUCUUUUAUUGUAGCCAUCCUGAUAGGUGUUUAGUGAUACCUCAUUGUGUUUUUACUGUGCAUCCGCCAAGUGACUAAUAAUGUUGAACAUCUCUUCUUGAGCUUUUUUUCAUCUCUGUAACCUCUUCGGUGAAGUGUCUGUUCAUGUAUUUUGCCCAUUUUAACUCGAUUUUUGGUUUUUGUUCAGUUUUGAGGGUUCUUUAUAUGUUUUAGGUGACAGUCCUUGAUGGCAUAUGUGGUUUGCAAAUAUUUUCUCCCAGUCCCUAUUUUGUCUUUUCGUGCCCUUUCUUGAUGGGAACUGUGUGAAGCCUGUGUAUCAGCUUGGAGCGGAUCGACCUCUUCGCCCUGUUCAGGAGGCAAGCAGGAAACCCAGCGUCUCCGCACCGUGUCACCCUUCACUCCCGAGCUCCCUGGCUGGGCUGCUGCUUCCUGACUUGGAGUCUCCUUGUGCUUGUUUCAUAUAUAAUGUCCAGGGCUUUUCAUUGUGCUGACAAGAGGGUAAGAGAAAAGUAUACCCACUCCUGAAAGUGGAAGUCAGCAAACAUUUUUUCUUAAACUUAGAUCAGAGGUGGUCAAGCUUUCUGUUUUCUAGAGGCUUCUUCGUUUUUACCUUGGGUAAAAUAGGGUAAGAUCCAGACUUUAAAAUGGACUGCUAGAAUCUCUCUCUCUCUUUCUCUCUUUUGCAAUGUACUAAAAGCAAAAGUUGUGGGUUGUACGUGAGAAGGUAAUCAGCUGUGAUUUUUUGUCUUUCUAAGACUUCACCGCCCCGCCCUGGGACCCCCUCAGCCUCCCAGUACCUCUCUCCUCUCCUCUCAAGCAUCACUUUCCCCUCCCUCCCGGAAGGGCCUCCCGAGCGCGGCUCUCUCUUCCUCGGCCCGGGCGGCCGCUCAGCAAGCCCCCCCGCACUGAGUAUGACCCAGCAGCGUGGUUCUGGGCAGGCGGCGGAGCUGGGGCGUAGCCAUCAGCGUGUAUGACUGCGCCUUCGUGGGAUGGAUACAGCCACCUCCUCAAGGUAAAUGACGCCCACGCUCUCCUCUUCCACCUCUCGGCUGGCCACCUGGGUGGCUCUCAGGACUGUCUGCGAACUCUCCACUUCCUCCGGCGGCCGGUGGACCCUUUUCCUUGAAAAUACCGCCAUGGCUGGCGACUGAGUUAUCCGGCACGGCCGUAGACAGCUCCUACCACGUUCUCUGGAAGUAAAGGGUCUCUUCUGCAGCCUCUCUGAGAAUGGCCACCUCGUCCACCACUUUGUUGGCCGGCAAACGGCACCACGGCCGCCCCGCCCCUCACCUGUGGCUGCGACCACCUCUCCCACGGCAGUUAUUCCGAAAAGGAGGAAGAAGCUUGGAGGAGGCGGGUGGCCGAGAGGGGCUGAGGUUGCAGAGCCCGAUUCUGGAGCGCACGCCUCUGCACUGUGGCAGGGCUGCCUUGGCAGUUCCUACCUCUACUCCCGAGAUGUGUGUUGUAAAGCUCUCCUGCCCGCCAGGUGCCAUGCUUGAGCGCAGAGAGUGGCCCAGGUGCACCUCUGUCCCACCCAGCACGGUUUGUUUCCUGAGGGAGUUACAGCGUGGUGAGGAGACACAGCCGCAGACGGAAUGAGAGCGGUGCGCACUCGACUGGGGCAGCACGGCACACACUGGGCCUGCUCACAGCCCUGCGGCGGAGGGCGAGCAGGAAGGCGCCCCUGAGCAGCCGCUGCAGAGUGGGGUCCUGUGGGACGUGGAGGAGUUUACCAGGCACCAGGAGGGAUGUGUGCAGAGGUCUUGGCCGGUCUUUAGGGGGCGAGUCUCACGCUUGGCUGCGUAUUGCAAUCACCUGGGGGAGCACGAAAACACGGCGGGUGCCCAGAC